GCCUUCUUAGCUCAGUGGUAGAGCGCAGCACUUGUAUAUCUGUUGCGACAUGCUGAGGUCAUUCGUUCGAUCCGGGUAGUAGGCA